GGAAAUGGGAGGACAUAUCUAUGGAUUUCGUCGUUGGCUUACCUCGCUCGACAGGGGGACACGACGCGAUCUGGGUGAUUGUGGAUCGUUUGACGAAGUCAGCGCACUUUCUACCGAUCCACACCACCUGGGCGGGGGAUAAGUUGGCGUAGGUAUAUCUCGACGAAGUAGUGAGGUUACACGGGGUACCAAAGUCGAUUGUGUCGGAUAGAGACCCCAAGUUUACUUCACAUUUCUGGAAAAGCCUGCAGGAGGCCCUUGGCACGCGGCUCGAUUUCAGUACUGCAUUUCAUCCCCAGAUAGACGGACAAACUGAAAGAACCAUUCAGACGCUGGAGGAUAUGUUACGAGCGUGUGUCAUCGAUUACAAAGGAGGUUGGUGUAAGUAUUUGCCAAUGGCCGAGUUCGCCUACAACAACAGUUAUCACGCUAGCGUGGAGAUGGCACCGUUCGAAGCUCUUUAUGGACGGAAGUGCCGCUCUCCCAUUUAUUGGAGUGACGUGGGCGAGCGCACGGAAUUUGGCCCCGAUGUGCUGCGGGAGGCGGAAGAAAAGGUCCGCCUUGCUCGCAAACGAUUACUCACGGCGCAGUCUCGACAACAGAGCUAUGCAGAUAGGCGCCGACGAGACUUGGAGUUUGCGGUGGGUGACCGCGUCUUCUUGAAGGUCUCGCCUAUGAGGGGUGUAAGGCGAUUUGGAGUUCGGGGAAAGUUAAGUCCCCGAUAUAUUGGCCCCUAUGAGAUCUUGGAGCGGAUUGGGACGGUGGCUUAUCGGCUCGCGUUGCCGCCGAAGCUAGCGGAUGUGCACAACGUAUUCCACGUCUCCAAUUUGCGUAAGUACAUACCUGAUCCCGAGCAUGCAAUGUUAUACGAACCGCUGGAGCUUCAGGAAGACCAGAGUUACGAGGAAUUUCCGGUGGCAAUUACCGCUCGUGAAGUGCGCAAGUUAAAGAAUCGAGAAAUUCCUUAUGUCCGAGUCCGGUGGAGCAAUCAUGAUGAUCGCGAAGCCACCUGGGAGCUCGAGGAGGAGAUGAAGGCGAAUCAUCCUCGCCUGUUCGAAGGUUAAACCGAGGUAUGAAAUCAGAAUUUGAAAUUCUAAUUAAGUUUUGUAGUAUUGAGUUCGUUUCGAGGACGAAACUCUUUUAAGGUGGGAAGGAUGUUAGGAAGUGAAUUCUCGAAACUCGAGGAUUAGACUUCGAUUAGAAUCGACUAGUUGUCGAGUGCGUAAGCUUCGGUAAGUCCGAAGGCGAUUUUAAUGCAUAAAGUGCAUUAAGGAAGGGUCCGCGAGAGCACAAAGUGCAAAACUUACACUGGAGCAGAAAUGCUCUCGGGGACCGGUCCCUGGUAAGGAGGGACCGGUCCCAUCAGGCUGGGUUGCGGAGGUCUCUGAUGAGACCGGUCCCUGGCAGGCAGGGACCGGUUCCCGAACGUCAGCCCAGCGAGAAUCGCCGAAAUUUGGCUAAGUCCUGAGAAUCCAACUUUCGGGAACCGGUCUCUCGGACAAGGACCGGUCUCCCGGGGACCGGUCUCUCAGGCAAGGACCGGUUCCCGAAUGCGAAAAUCCCUCUGCCCGAGAUGGCAGCCUUUGGGGACCGGUCUCCCCGAGCUGGGAACGGUCCCUCACUGCGAAAAUGGCCCAGGGAGGGCUGUUUCAGGAAAUGAAAAGUUGAGGGGGCUAUCUGCAAAAUAGCCUAUAUGAGGGCUUAGGGACCCCCUUUCUCCCUCUCAGUUGCUCUUUUCCUCUUUCUUUCACACUCUUUCCCUCUCUCUCUCUAGGAAAGAAAAGAAGGAGAAGAAGAAGGAGAAGAAAGAAAGGAAGGGAAAGGAGAAGAAGUGGAAGGAGAAGUCCAAGAAGAAGAAGAAGGUCUUCUUCCCUCUCUCCUUCAAGCUAGAGCAAGCUUGGAGCUUGACUUAGAGGUAAGCUCCAAACCCAUCCAUGGUGGAUUUCUUAGGAUUGAGUUUUAUUGUUUAGAAUUGGUUCGAAUGGAACCUAGAGGAGAUAAAUAGAUGGUUCGAGCUCGAAAUUGAAGCUCGCACCAUGGAUUUCCCCCUCGUUGCCAUUCUAGGGCACGGAUUUGGGAUUUUGGUAAAUCUAGGGUUUUGAUCUAUUUUAAUAGGUCGCAAACCUAAUUGCUAGGUCACGGAACGCGUCGGCGAAGACGGUUUGUCGAUCCGACGAGCGAGUGCGGAGAAAUCGCCGAAUCGAGUACUCGAGGGCUCUCUUCGCCCCGAGGAGUUGAAGCGACGUGCAGGGACCGCAGCGUCGGGUUUUCUACAAUCGCGGCAUCGCCAGGAGGUGGGUGGUGACCAUCCUGAAGCAACUGGGCCCUCUUCUAUGUCUUAGUACGUGUCGAUUCUUGCAUCUUGUAUUAUUGCAUUAUAGGAUGAUUGUGCAUUGCCUUUCCUUAUGCUUUCCUUGAUGAUAUCGUAGCAUGUAUUGGAUACUUGACAUAGUGGAUCGAUAAGGAUUGGGUCGAGAUUUGUGAAUCCUAUAGUGCGGAGAAAGAGAUGGGCUCAAUGGUUGGUCUAAUGAUAAACAAAGAACGAGUGGCAUCCAGUCGAUAGUGAACAAUGGACGAGUGGCAAUCUAGUUGAUAGUGUAUAAGAAAACAAGUGAUACAUGUUAAACUUGGUGUAUACGACGCCCAUGGACUACAUGAUGGUAGUAACCCUAGAGGAUAGGGUACCCUAGAGUGAAGAGAAUUGGAUCAUGCUCACGGUCUAUUUUUAACUUGUGAUGGAAGCCCCACACAAGAAGUGCGCUCCGGAGUUGGUCACGUGGGAUUGCCUAUUUUGGGUCCCAAGGGAUUGCCUAUUUUGGGUCCCGGCAGACGGUCUCGGUUCGUAGUGCGAGUUGACCCUCCCUACCUUCGAGAUGGCUAGUGAGCAGUAGGCGAGCUUUUAGAGAAGCCACGAGAUUAAGAAACAAGUAAAUGAGAUUGAUGAAUAAGUGCAUAGCUUUACUUUUUGGACAUGUUGACGGGUUAGUUGUUUACCAUUUCGUUGUACAUGCAUCCAUAUGUUUAUGAUUUGGGCAUAGUAGUGUAGCUUUACUAUCCCGGAGGUGACUCGAUCAGCGCCGAGCGGACGGGUAUUCGCCGCUCAGGCCCAUGCCGAGGAGCCUGCCCAAGCCGAGGAGCCUGAUGUUAUGGCAGGUAUGGUUCUAAUCAAUGGAGUUCGCUCCAGGGCUAUGUUUGAUACGGGUGCCACGCAUUCGUUUAUUAGUAGAGCAUUUGCACGCAUGCAUGACAUACCCAUAGAAGCAAGUGGCAAGUGGCGUGUUGAAGGUCCUGAGUCGUCGUUCAAUACCUACAUGGAGUGCUCGUCAUGCCCAGUACAAGUAGGUGGCUCGAUAAUGCUCGUUCGGAUGUUGGAACUCACUAAAUUGGAGGCGUAUGAUGUCAUUUUGGGCAUGGACUGGCUCUCAAAGUAUUACGCCACGAUCGAUUGUAAGAACAAAUCGAUCACCUUUCGGGAGCCAGGAUAGAAGGAGUUCGUUUAUCGAGCUUGUCGGAGUUCUUGCUUCGUCGCGACGGUAUCAGCGACGAGAGCUAGGAAGUUGAUCAGCGGCGACUGCGUAGCAUUUUUGGCGAUCGUCGUGGAAGUGGACCGAGCGGCUCCGAGUUUGGAGGAACUAUCGGUGGUGCGGGAAUUCCCAGAUGUAUUUCCCGCGGAGCUAGCGGGGAUGCCGCCGGAUCGGGAGAUCGAGUUCGUUAUAGACUUGAUUCCCGGGACGGCGCCACCCUCGAAGGCCCCAUACCGCAUGGCGCCGGCAGAGUUAAGAGAAUUGAGGGAUCAGUUACAAGAUCUUCUCGACAAAGGGUUUAUCAGGCCGAGCGUAUCACCGUGGGGAGCGCCGGUGUUGUUCAUGCGCAAGAAGGAUGGCUCGUUUCGACUCUCCGUGGAUUAUUGAGAGUUGAAUAGGGUCACAAUAAAGAAUAAGUACCCGUUGCCCCGAAUCGACGACUUAUUCGAUCAAUUACAGGGGUCACGAGUGUACUUGAAGAUAAAUCUACAGUCCGGCUAUCAUCAGUUAAAGAUCAAGUCGGAGGAUAUUCAGAAGACGGCGUUUCACACGCGUUAUGGACACUACGAGUACACGGUUAUGCCUUUCGGGCUCACUAAUGCCCCGGCUGCAUUCAUGGACCUGAUGAACCGUGUGUUCAAGGCGUGCCUAGACCAACUUGUCGUGGUCUUCAUAGACGACAUCUUGGUCUAUUCACGGAGCGACAAGGAGCACGCGGAGCAUUUGCGGACGGUGCUUCAAAUCCUUCGGGAGGAGAAGCUAUUCGCAAAGCUGAAGAAAUGUGAUUUCUGGCUUCGAGAGGUUGCCUUCUUGGGGCAUGUGAUUUCCGAGGGCUGUGUUUCAGUUGACCCGAGGAAAGUCGAAGCAGUCGAGAAUUGGCCACGCCCGACGAACGUCACGGAGGUCCGAAGCUUUGUAGGCUUAGCAGGCUAUUAUCGACGGUUUGUGGGGGGUUUUUCGAAGAUUGUGACUCCGCUCACCAGUUUGACACAGAAGGGCGUCAAGUUUAUUUGGAGCGACGAAUGUGACCAAAGCUUCAACGAAUUGAAGAAAAGAUUGACGUCGGCUCUAAUACUCGCCUUACCGGUGCAGGGCGAGGACUUUGUGGUUUAUAGCGAUGCAUCCUAUCUGGGCUUGGGGUGUGUCCUGAUGCAGGGCAGGAGAGUGAUAGCUUAUGCAUCCCGUCAGCUAAAAGACCACGAGAAGAAUUACCCCAUACAUGACUUGGAGUUGGCGGCGGUGAUCUUUGCGCUGAAACUAUGGAGGCACUACCUGUAUGGUGCACACUGCGAGAUUUACACCGACCACAAAAGUCUGAAGUAUCUAUUUACCCAGAAGGAGCUAAACAUGCGACAAAGGCGGUGGCUAGAGCUAUUAAAGGAUUACGAUGUCGACAUUCUCUACCACCCCGGCAAAGCCAAUGUGGUCGCGGACGCACUUAGUAGGAAGUCGGCGAAGAACCUCGCUUUUGAUGUUACCCGGCAAACACCCCUAGGGCUAGAGAUGGAGCGACUAGACCUCGAAGUGGUCGCUCCCGAGGUCCCGGCUCAGCUGAUGGCGCUCGUUAUUCAACCGACCUUAUUGGAGAGGAUCAGAAAUUUGCAACCUGCAGAUCCGAGUCUCCAAAGGGUGCGGCGCAACAUUGAGGAAGGACGAGAUGGCGAUUUUAGUGUGGACGCCGGUGGCGCGCUCCGGUUUCGAAACCGGUGGUGCGUGCCCGAGAAUGAAGAGCUUUGCGAGCUGAUCUUGCAGGAAGCCCACCGGUCUCCAUACGCGGAUCACCCGGGCGGCACCAAGAUGUAUCAUGAGUUGAGAGCACUCUAUUGGUGGCCGGGGAUGAAGGCUGAUAUUGGGUGCUUCAUGGCGAAGUGUUUGACUUGUCAGCAGGUGAAAGCGGAGCGCCGGUUUCCAGCGGGAAAACUUCAGAGUCUACCUAUUCCCGUUUGGAAAUGGGAGGACGUGUCAAUGGAUUUUAUCUUUGGCUUACCUCGUUCGGCAGGGGGCCACGACGCAAUCUGGGUGAUUGUGGAUCGCUUGACGAAGUCAGCGCACUUUUUGCCGGUCCACACCACCUGGGCGGGAGAUAAGUUGGCGCAGGUAUAUCUUGACGAAGUAGUGAGGUUACACGGGGUGCCGAAAUCGAUUGUGUCGGAUAGAGACCCCAAGUUCACUUCACAUUUCUGGAAAAGCCUGCAGGAGGCCCUUGGCACACGGCUCGAUUUUAGCACUGCAUUUCAUCCCCAGACA
rnacentral:lncRNA from 1 species